rfam:Sorghum bicolor cultivar BTx623 chromosome 1, whole genome shotgun sequence.
GCAGUCGGAUUCACAUCAAUCCACAUGUGUUGGAGUGGUUUGGAGUGGAACCUGAAUUAAAUUCCACCUCAAUCCACUCCAACACAUGUGAAUUGAGGUGAAUCCGACA